ACUCCCUGGGGAACUCUGUAGUCAGGGACGGGGGACUCCCGGGCGACGGUCCCAGAGGCGUGACUGGUGCUGUGGCUAUGCCCCAUCUUCAGGUCCAAACUGUCCUGAGGGCUGGAGGCUUGCCUGCAGCACGGACUGGAGGACCCGGCCUCAGAACCACUGACGCAGGAGCUCAGAGGACCUGCGUGUGGAACGAGAUCCCAGGUGACCCACAGGAGAACCUGGGUUCAGUGCUCAGCACCCACAUGACAGCUCACAGCCGCUGGUAACCCUAGUUCCGGAGGUCCAGAUCUCUCAAGACACCGAGUGCACGUGUUACACAGACACGCAUGCAGCCCAUAAUUGGAUCCAGUGGUGGCACAGGCCCAUAAUCCCAGCACUCAGAAG